AGAUUGAACGCUGGCGGCAUGCCUAACACAUGCAAGUCGAACGGGAGUAGCAAUACUCUAGUGGCGGACGGGUGAGGAAUACGUAGGAAUUUGCCCUUAAGUGGGGGAUAACCCGGGGAAACCCGGAUUAAUACCGCAUGACCUCGAAAGAGCAAAGUGGGGGAUCGCAAGACCUCACGCUUUUGGAGAAGCCUACGUCGGAUUAGCUAGUUGGUGAGGUAAUGGCUCACCAAGGCGACGAUCCGUAACCUGGUCUGAGAGGAUGAUCAGUCACACCGGAACUGAGACACGGUCCGGACUCCUACGGGAGGCAGCAGUGGGGAAUAUUGGACAAUGGGCGCAAGCCUGAUCCAGCAAUGCCGCGUGUGUGAAGAAGGCCUUCGGUUGUAAAGCACUUUAAGUUAGGGAAGAAAAACUACGACUCGUAACACAGUGAGUCUUGACGGUACCGACAGAAUAAGACACCGGCUAACUCUGUGCCAGCAGCCGC
rnacentral:rRNA from 1 species